rnacentral:rRNA from 1 species
CUUGAACGCUGGCGGCAUGCCUUACACAUGCAAGUCGAACGGUAACAGGUCUUCGGAUGCUGACGAGUGGCGAACGGGUGAGUAAUACAUCGGAACGUGCCUAGUAGUGGGGGAUAACUACUCGAAAGAGUGGCUAAUACCGCAUGAGAUCUACGGAUGAAAGCAGGGGAUCGCAAGACCUUGUGCUACUAGAGCGGCCGAUGGCAGAUUAGGUAGUUGGUGGGAUAAAAGCUUACCAAGCCGACGAUCUGUAGCUGGUCUGAGAGGACGAUCAGCCACACUGGGACGUAGAAACGGCCCAGACUCCUACGGGAGGCAGCAGUGGGGAAUUUUGGACAAUGGGCGCAAGCCUGAUCCAGCAAUGCCGCGUGCAGGAUGAAGGCCUUCGGGUUGUAAACUGCUUUUGUACGGAACGAAAAGCCCCGGGUUAAUACCCUGGGGUCAUGACGGUACCGUAAGAAUAAGCACCGGCUAACUACGUGCCAGCCGCCGCGGUAA